CAUAACCUCAAUAUUUAUUCAUACCGUUUCGGGCGGAGUGGCAAUUUUAGUCAUCUUCGAGGAUCUGACAAUCUUUGCAUAUCCAUCAUCAAAGAGCACAUCAUACCUGUCUGCGAAAAUAUGUCACUUAUAAUUAUAAAAUAGAUGGUAUAUUAUAAAUUUAAAAAAAAAUGUCCUUCCCAGAGUGAAAACGUCAAACGGACAAUGGGAGGACACAGUCGAUCUCUGUCUUUCUCACGGUGAUUAAGGUUAGGUCGCUUACCAUUCCCUAAGACGGCGUUUACUUUAGCGGGAUAUUUUCUGCCAUCCGCCCACGUAGCUAAGAUCCUUUCUCCGACCGAGAACUCUUUCAUAUUCGUCUCCCUGGGGGUGUCAAAUUGACAUAUUACCUUCCGCGUAAAAAAAACACAAAGAGGAUAAUAAUUUCUCGCGACAUCGUCAAUUUUCUCGUGCAGCUUGUUCACAGGAUUUUAUUUAAAGUGCAGCAUUUUGUUUUCUAAUGUCAAACUAACUUAAUCUUUGAUAAAAGCAACAUGUAGAGAUUUCGUUUGUUUUUUGUUUUCUGACAUAAAAUCUGAAUGAAAAGUGUUAUUACAUCUGUCACCGCACAUAUUCAAAUAAAUUAAAAAUAAAUUUGUAGAUGAGAGCAAAAAUUACAGAGAUAUUGUACAUAAAUAAGAAAAAGAAAGUACUGCGAUAUAAGCAUGAAUUGUCGAUUAUAUAUGUAUAUAUUUGAACAAUUUAUUCACUUUGCAAAUAAUGCUGUUCACGAUGUAUCGGAAAAGAGAAAAGCUAAAUAUCAAUACCUCAAGUGAUAAGUUUGGAAGAAUUUAUUUUUUAUCAUAUUUACACGCAAGCACUUUGUUACCAUACCUUUGACUUUAAACAAACAACAUUCGCUAUCAAUGAGAAUCAGCCAACAAAACUACUAAAAAUUCUAUAAUCUACGAACGAUGACAUAUAAUAGAACACAUCUGGAUGCAUUCUUUUAGGAAGAGACAUUUAAGAGCAUGGUCGGUCAGCAGAAUGAGUUUUAGGAGAAAUAUGUAUGUACAUAAAGCUAUGAAAAAGAAUAUUUGACAGAAAGAGAAACGGAAGAUUCUAUCUACAGAUCUACAAAAUUAGGAUACCAUAGGAAUGUUCAAUUAUGAUCUAAAAACAAUGAGAAUUACUAAAAAUUUUAUUAUCUAUCCUCUAAUAACGCAAUAUCCACUUACGAAGAUGGCUGCACCCAAGAUUGCUCGCUUUAAAGAAAAACACAUAAGACAGAUUAUACAACUGUCAUAAAAUUUUGUAAACGCUACUAUUAAUUUCAAUAAUGGAAUAGUACACGGUAAUUUAAAAAUAACUUGCAUCUCUGCUGGUCCAUUAAAUCAGACGUCUCCAAUAAAUUAACCGAAUCGGCAGAUGAUUCUGGUCUGGAAUAACAGGUUUCGCCGCAACUGUCAGACUUUGGAGUUCUAUCUUCGGAUAUUAAAGGAGAAUGUCUCAUAUUUAAAAUUUCCGCAUUAAUUAAAUCCAGAUCUUCUUGCGCAUAAGAAGUAGAGGUCUUUACUGACAUGAUUACUGGAUCUAAAAACCAAUACAUAAACAUACUUAUAAUGAACGUCAACAAAUUUAAAAUCUGAGGAACGAGUAAUGAUCGAUUAUUAAAGAAAUAUUUAGGAUUUAACGAUUGUACGCUUAAACCAAGAAAAUAUCAAAAGAAUAUCCCUAAAAGUUUUCUUUGUUUCAAUCAUGCAUGAGUAAUAAUAAGUUCGAAGGUUUCUCAUAUCAUCGAUUUAUAUUCAUCGAAAGAAGACCAUAUUCUAUUCCAGUAAGGAAAAACGCACAGCGAAGAUAUGCGUUUGUUCAAAGAAAUCCAUGAAUUUGUGCGCCUCUCGCUGUGGAUGAUAUCGCGUAGUAGACGCGAAACACAGGAAAUAUCUCGGAGAAGAGAGUAGAGGCGAGACACGGAGGGAGAGGAUACUUCGAAAGCACUAGUGUUA